rnacentral:sRNA from 1 species
AUGAAAUACCACCAAGCAGCAAGAGAAAUGAUAUACCAGCAAAAAGUAAAGAAAAAGUAUUACCACCAAAAAGCCAGGGAAAUGUUAAACCACCAAGAAACAAGGGAAAUGUUAUACGACCAAGAAGCAAGGGAAAUGUAAUACCACCAAGAAGCAAGGGAAAUGUAAUACGACCAAGAAGCAAGGGAAAUGUAAUACCACCAAGAAGCAAGGGAAAUGUAAUACCAUCAAGAAGCAAGGGAAAUGUAAUACUACCAUCAAGUAGUAAGGGGCCUAAAGGAAUACUUAUCUUGGAGACUUUAAAAUCACAGAAUAAUGAAAGGCAACCAAGUGGCAGAAGUAUUCUUUUCUUGAAGAGAUUAGAGUCACAGGAAUCACAUGUAAGCCAGCCGAGUAAACCUGUUAGCACAGAUACUCUUCUACACAGAACUGACUGUUAUACUCUGAAAAGUAUCUUAAAAGAUAAUACUACUGACCUAGUCCACCAGAAGUCUUCAACACCCAAAC